AGAGUUUGAUCCUGGCUCAAAAUCAACGCUGGCGGCGUGCCUCAGACAUGCAAGUCGAACGCGAAAUCUCCCUUCGGGGAGAAAGUAGAGUGGCGCACGGGUGAGUAACACGUAGGUAAUUUGCCUUCGGGUGGGGAAUAACUCAGGGAAACUUGAGCUAAUACCGCAUAAUGCAGCGGCUCGACAUCGAGACAGUUGUUAAAGCGGGGGAUCGCAAGACCUCGCGCCUGAAAAGAAGCCUGCGGCAAAUUAGCUAGUUGGUAGGGUAAUGGCCUACCAAGGCAACGAUCUGUAACCGGCCUGAGAGGGCGGUCGGUCACACUGACACUGACAUACGGGUCACACUCCUACGGGAGGCAGCAGUCGGGAAUUUUGGGCAAUGGGCGAACGCCUGACCCAGCAACGCCGCGUGAAGGAUGAAAUCCCUCGGGAUGUAAACUUCGCAAGAGUGGGAAAAAUAAGGUGGGGGGACACUACCCCCCAUGAUGACGGUACCAUUUGUAAGCUCCGGCUAACUCCGUGCCAGCAGCCGCGGUAAUAACGGGGGGGAACCAAGCGUUUGUUCGUAAUUUACUGGGCGUAAAGGGGCGCG
rnacentral:rRNA from 1 species